AUUGAACGCUGGCGGCAGGCCUAACACAUGCAAGUCGAGCGGAGCGGCGGACGGGUGAGUAAUGCCUAGGAAUCUGCCUGGUAGUGGGGGAUAACGUCCGGAAACGGGCGCUAAUACCGCAUACUAUCAGAUGAGACUAGGUCGGAUUAGCUAGUGGGUGGGGUAAAGGCCUACAAAGGCGACGAUCCGUAACUGGUCUGAGAGGAUGAUCAGUCACACUGGAACUGUGAACCUGUUCAGACUCCUACGCGAGGCAGCGGUGGGGAAGAUUGGACACUGGGCGAAAGCCUGAUCCAGCCAUGCCGCGUGUGUGAAGAAGGUCUUCGGAUUGUAAAGCACUUUAAGUUGGGAGGCGUUACCCACAGAAUAAGCACCGGCUAACUUCGUGCCAGCCGACGCGGUAAUAC
rnacentral:rRNA from 1 species